rnacentral:piRNA from 1 species
UGGUGAAUCAUUUCUGAGGACAGCCUAC